AAAGAAAAGAAGAGAAGGUAAGAGGGUGAUAUGUGUGUCGUGUAUGUCACCCUGUAUUAAUUUUUUUUUUUUUUUUUUUUUUUUUUUUUCUUUUUUUUUU
rnacentral:ribozyme from 1 species